GACAGAGGGGGCAAGCGUUGCUCGGAAUCACUGGGCGUAAAGGGCGCGCAGGCGGGAUGGCAAGUCGGAUGUGAAAGCCCUCGGCUCAACCGGGGAAGUGCAUUCGAAACUGCUGUUCUUGAGUGUCGGAGAGGGUGGUGGAAUUCCCGGUGUAGAGGUGAAAUUCGUAGAUAUCGGGAGGAACACCAGUGGCGAAGGCGACCACCUGGACGAACACUGACACUGAGGUGCGAAAGCGUGGGGAGCAAACAGG
rnacentral:rRNA from 1 species